rnacentral:rRNA from 1 species
UAAAGCACUUUAAGCAGUGAAGAAGACUCCAUGGUUAAUACCCAUGGACGAUGACAUUAGCUGCAGAAUAAGCACCGGCUAACUCUGUGCCAGCAGCCGCGGUAAUACAGAGGGUGCAAGCGUUAAUCGGAAUUACUGGGCGUAAAGCGAGCGUAGGUGGCUUGAUAAGUCAGAUGUGAAAUCCCCGGGCUUAACCUGGGAACUGCAUCUGAUACUGUUAGGCUAGAAUAGGUGAGAGGAAGGUAGAAUUCCAGGUGUAGCGGUGAAAUGCGUAGAGAUCUGGAGGAAUACCGAUGGCGAAGGCAGCCUUCUGGCAUCAUAUUGACACUGAGGUUCGAAAGCGUGGGUAGCAAACAGGAUUAGAUACCCUGGUAGUCCACGCCGUAAACGAUGUCUACUAGUCGUUGGGUCCCUUGAGGACUUAGUGACGCAGCUAACGCAAUAAGUAGACCGCCUGGGGAGUACGGCCGCAAGGUUAAAACUCAAAUGAAUUGACGGGGGCCCGCACAAGCGGUGGAGCAUGUGGUUUAAUUCGAUGCAACGCGAAGAACCUUACCUGGUCUUGACAUAUCUAGAAUCCUGCAGAGAUGCGGGAGUGCCUUCGGGAAUUAGAAUACAGGUGCUGCAUGGCUGUCGUCAGCUCGUGUCGUGAGAUGUUGGGUUAAGUCCCGCAACGAGCGCAACCCUUGUCCUUAGUUACCAGCGGGUUAAGCCGGGAACUCUAAGGAUACUGCCAGUGACAAACUGGAGGAAGGCGGGGACGACGUCAAGUCAUCAUGGCCCUUACGACCAGGGCUACACACGUGCU